ACAUAAAAACAGGGGCGCCGAAAGGCUGAGAUCUGCACGUGGCAGAGUACCCUCGAACCUGAUCCGGGUAAUGUCGGCGUAGGUAGUUUGCGGAAAGUCCGG
rfam:Faecalibacterium sp. CAG:82 genomic scaffold, scf42